CGCGUAGGAAUUUGCCCAGUAGUGGGGGAUAGCCCGGAGAAAUCCGGAUUAAUACCGCAUACGCCCUAAGGGGGAAAGUGGAGGCUCUUCGGACUUCACGCUAUUGGAUAAGCCUGCGUAAGAUUAGCUUGUUGGUGAGGUAAUGGCUCACCAAGGCGACGAUCUUUAGCUGGUCUGAGAGGAUGAUCAGUCACACUGGAACUGAGACACGGUCCAGACUCCUACGGGAGGCAGCAGUGGGGAAUAUUGCACAAUGGGGGAAACCCUGAUGCAGCCAUGCCGCGUGUGUGAAGAAGGCCU
rnacentral:rRNA from 1 species